rnacentral:rRNA from 1 species
UGGGGAAUUUUGGACAAUGGGCGCAAGCCUGAUCCAGCCAUGCCGCGUGCGGGAAGAAGGCCUUCGGGUUGUAAACCGCUUUUGUCAGGGAAGAAAUCUUCUGAGUUAAUACCUCGGGAGGAUGACGGUACCUGAAGAAUAAGCACCGGCUAACUACGUGCCAGCAGCCGCGGUAAUACGUAGGGUGCAAGCGUUAAUCGGAAUUACUGGGCGUAAAGCGUGCGCAGGCGGUUUUGUAAGACAGAGGUGAAAUCCCCGGGCUCAACCUGGGAACUGCCUUUGUGACUGCAAGGCUUGAGUGCGGCAGAGGGGGGAUGGAAUUCCGCGUGUAGCAGUGAAAUGCGUAGAUAUGCGGAGGAACACCGAUGGCGAAGGCAAUCCCCUGGGCCUGCACUGACGCUCAUGCACGAAAGCGUGGGGAGCAAACAGGAUUAGAUAGCCCCUGGUAGUCCACGCCCUAAACGAUGUCAACUGGUUGUUGGGAAGGUUCCUUCUCAGUAACGUAGCUAACGCGUGAAGUUGACCGCCUGGGGAGUACGGCCGCAAGGUU